rnacentral:sRNA from 1 species
GCGGAGACGCAUGUUUCCGUUCACUCCUCACACCACACUCCGCCUGAACGUUUUGUUCGGGCGGUU